UACGUAGGGGGCAAGCGUUGUCCGGAUUUAUUGGGCGUAAAGAGCGUGUAGGCGGCUUUACAGGUCCGUUGUGAAAACUCGAGGCUCAACCUCGAGAUGUCGGUGGAAACUGCCUGGCUAGAGUCCGGAAGAGGAGUGUGGAAUUCCUGGUGUAGCGGUGAAAUGCGCAGAUAUCAGGAAGAACACCUAUGGCGAAGGCAGCACUCUGGGACGGUACUGACGCUGAGACGCGAAAGCGUGGGGAGCGAACAGG
rnacentral:rRNA from 1 species